UCCCUUUUGGCUCAGCUGGUAUAGAAUCCGCCUGUAAAGCGGGAGACCUCGGUUCGAUCCUUGGAUUGGGAA
rnacentral:tRNA from 1 species